rnacentral:rRNA from 1 species
UACGUAGGGUGCCAGCGUUGUCCGGAUUUAUUGGGUUUAAAGGGUGCGUAGGUGGCUUUUUAAGUCAUGGGUGAAAGCCCGCAGCUCAACUGUGGAAUUGCCUGUGAUACUGAGGAGCUUGAGUGCGGUUGAGGCAGCUGUAAUUGGCCGUGUAGAGGUGAAAUGCAUAGAAAACACCAGGUCCACUGAUUGCGAAGGCAGGUUGCUAAGCCGUAACUGACACUGAGGUGCGAAAGCGUGGGGAGCAAACAGA